UCGGCUAUCUGUGGCUGAGGUUUUAUAUGGUUCUGGUGCAGAUAUUUCAUCACCUGAUAAUUCAGCAUCCAUUGUCUUCAAACCAGCAGCAGAAGAUUGUGAAACCCCAAUCUGCAGAUGGUAUUAUAGGGGAAUCCUCUCUGCCUGGUGCAGGAACCAGUGAACCAGCAACAUCAGAAGGCUUUGUUCGAGGAAAGUCUUAUAACAUCAGGAUGGAUGAUCAAGUUCUACUGAGAUUUUCCCCAAAGAAUUCUGACUCCACUUAUUACUUCAGUGACAUGAUUGGUGGAACUCUUACUUUUUUUCAUGGACAAGGAUCAAGGAGAUGCCUUGAGGUCUCAAUAACACUGGAAACUUCAGAGACCAUAAAUAGGCGUUUUGUUCAUCCUUCUCGCAGGAAUUCCCCAACAACCAUAAAGGUUCAGAGUGNNNNNAUCAUCAUGAGGUUGUUGCAGAUUUGGUGCAGACCAGCUUUCUUUUUUCUGUACCCACGGAUGGGCC
rnacentral:misc_RNA from 1 species